rnacentral:rRNA from 1 species
CCUACGGGUGGCAGCAGUGAGGAAUAUUGGUCAAUGGACGAGAGUCUGAACCAGCCAAGUAGCGUGAAGGAUGACUGCCCUAUGGGUUGUAAACUUCUUUUAUAUGGGAAUAACAUGUUCCACGUGUGGGAUUUUGUAUGUACCAUAUGAAUAAGGAUCGGCUAACUCCGUGCCAGCAGCCGCGGUAAUACGGAGGAUCCGAGCGUUAUCCGGAUUUAUUGGGUUUAACGGGAGCGUAGGUGGAUUGUUAAGUCAGUUGUGAAAGUUUGCGGCUCAACCGUAAAAUUGCAGUUGAAACUGGCAGUCUUGAGUACAGUAGAGGUGAGCGGAAUUCGUGGUGUAGCGGUGAAAUGCUUAGAUAUCACGAAGAACUCCGAUUGCGAAGGCAGUUCACUGGACUGCAACUGACGCUGAGGCUCGAAAGUGUGGGUAUCAAACAGGAUUAGAUACCCGUGUAGUC